rnacentral:rRNA from 1 species
AACGAACGCUGGCGGCAGGCUUAACACAUGCAAGUCGAACGCGUGCAGCAAUGCACGAGUGGCGCACGGGUGAGUAACGCGUGGAUAUCUGCCUUUUGGUUCGGAAUAACCCCGGGAAACUGGGGCUAAUACCGGAUGGUUCCUACGGGAUAAAGAUUUAUCGCCAAAAGAUGAGUCCGCGUCCGAUUAGCUAAUUGGUGAGGUAAUGGCUCACCAAGGCGACGAUCGGUAGCUGGUCUGAGAGGACGAUCAGCCACACUGGGACUGAGACACGGCCCAGACUCCUACGGGAGGCAGCAGUGGGGAAUAUUGGACAAUGGGGGCAACCCUGAUCCAGCCAUGCCGCGUGAGUGAUGAAGGCCUUCGGGUUGUAAAGCUCUUUUGGCGGGGACGAUGAUGACGGUACCCGCAGAAUAAGCCCCGGCUAACUUCGUG